rnacentral:rRNA from 1 species
GACGAACGCUGGCGGCGUGCUUAACACAUGCGAGUCGAACGGAAAGGCCCUGCUUUUGUGGGGUGCUCGAGUGGCGAACGGGUGAGUAACACGUGAGUAACCUGCCCUUGACUUUGGGAUAACUUCAGGAAACUGGGGCUAAUACCGGAUAGGAGCUCCUGCUGCAUGGUGGGGGUUGGAAAGUUUCGGCGGUUGGGGAUGGACUCGCGGCUUAUCAGCUUGUUGGUGGGGUAGUGGCUUACCAAGGCUUUGACGGGUAGCCGGCCUGAGAGGGUGACCGGCCACAUUGGGACUGAGAUACGGCCCAGACUCCUACGGGAGGCAGCAGUGGGGAAUAUUGCACAAUGGGCGGAAGCCUGAUGCAGCAACGCCGCGUGCGGGAUGACGGCCUUCGGGUUGUAAACCGCUUUCGCCUGUGACGAAGCGUGAGUGACGGUAAUGAGUAAAGAAGCACCGGCUAACUACGUG